GACGAACGCUGGCGGCGUGCUUAACACAUGCAAGUCGAACGGAAAGGCCCUGCUUUUGUGGGGCGCUCGAGUGGCGAACGGGUGAGUGACACGUGAGUAACCUGCCCUUGACUUUGGGAUAACUUCAGGAAACUGGGGCUAAUACCGGAUAGGAGCUCCUGCUGCAUGGUGGGGGUUGGAAAGUUUCGGCGGUUGGGGAUGGACUCGCGGCUUAUCAGCUUGUUGGUGGGGUAGUGGCUUACCAAGGCUUUGACGGGUAGCCGGCCUGAGAGGGUGACCGGCCACAUUGGGACUGAGAUACGGCCCAGACUCCUACGGAAGGCAGCAGUGGGGAAUAUUGCACAAUGGGCGGAAGCCUGAUGCAGCAACGCCGCGUGCGGGAUGACGGCCUUCGGGUUGUAAACCGCUUUCGCCUGUGACGAAGCGUGAGUGACGGUAAUGGGUAAAGAAGCACCGGCUAACUACGUG
rnacentral:rRNA from 1 species